GUUAAGUCCCGCAACGAGCGCAACCCUUAAGCUUAGUUGCCAUCAUUAAGUUGGGCACUCUAAGUUGACUGCCGGUGACAAACCGGAGGAAGAUGGGGAUGACGUCAAAUCAUCAUGCCCCUUAUGAUUUGGGCUACACACGUGCUACAAUGGACAAUACAAAGGGCAGCGAAACCGUGAGGUCAAGCAAAUCCCAUAAAGUUGUUCUCAGUUCGGAUUGUAGUCUGCAACUCGACUACAUGAAGCUGGAAUCGCUAGUAAUCGUAGAUC
rnacentral:rRNA from 1 species